rnacentral:rRNA from 1 species
CCUACGGGGGGCUGCAGUGGGGAAUAUUGGACAAUGGGGGGAACCCUGAUCCAGCCAUGCCGCGUGUGUGAAGAAGGCCCUCGGGUUGUAAAGCACUUUCAGUGAGGAAGAACGCCUGGUGGUUAAUACCCAUCAGGAAAGACAUCACUCACAGAAGAAGCACCGGCUAACUCCGUGCCAGCAGCCGCGGUAAUACGGAGGGUGCGAGCGUUAAUCGGAAUUACUGGGCGUAAAGCGCGCGUAGGUGGCUUGAUAAGCCGGUUGUGAAAGCCCCGGGCUCAACCUGGGAACGGCAUCCGGAACUGUCAAGCUAGAGGGCAGGAGAGGAAGGUAGAAUUCCCGGUGUAGCGGUGAAAUGCGUAGAGAUCGGGAGGAAUACCAGUGGCGAAGGCGGCCUUCUGGACUGACACUGACACUGGGGUGCAAAAGCGUGGGUAGCAAACAGGAUUAGAUACCCCGGUAGUC